GGGGGGACGGAGAAGGCUAGGUGGGCCUGGCGACGGUUGUCCAGGUUCAAGUGCGUAGGCUGAAGAGUUAGGUAAAUCCGGCUCUUCUUAAGGCUGAGACACGACGUCGAGCACCUACGGGUGUGAAGUCAUUGAUGCCAUGCUUCCAGGAAAAG
rnacentral:rRNA from 1 species